rnacentral:rRNA from 1 species
GAUCCUGGCUUAGGAUGAACGCUGGCGGCGUGCUUAACACAUGCAAGUCGAACGAAGCACGUUUACUGAUCCCCUUCGGGGGUGAAAUGAUAGUGACUUAGUGGCGGACGGGUGAGUAACCCGUGGGUAACCUGCCUUAUACUGGGGGAUAACAGUUGGAAACGACUGCUAAUACCGCAUAAUAAAGAAUAUCGCAUGAUUUUUCUUUUGAAAUAUUAAUAGGUAUAAGAUGGACCCGCGUCUGAUUAGCUAGUUGGUGAGGUAACUGCUCACCAAGGCGACGAUCAGUAGCCGGCUUGAGAGAGUGACCGGCCACAUUGGGACUGAGACACGGCCCAAACUCCUACGGGAGGCAGCAGUGGGGAAUAUUGCACAAUGGGGGAAACCCUGAUGCAGCGACGCCGCGUGAGUGAAGAAGUAUUUCGGUAUGUAAAGCUCUAUCAGCAGGGAAGAUAAUGACGGUACCUGACUAAGAAGCCCCGGCUAACUACGUGCCAGCCGCCGC